AGCGAACGCUAGCGGCAGGCUUAACACAUGCAAGUCGAGCGGGAUGACUUCGGUCAUCCAGCGGCGCACGGGUGAGUAACACGUAGGUAACGUACCCUUUGGUGAGGAACAACCCAGGGAAACCUGGGCUAAUGCCACCUAUGUCCUUCGGGAUGAAAGUCGAAAGACGCCAGGGGAUCGGCCUGCGGCCCAUUAUCUAAUCCUAGUUGGUAAGGUAACGGCUUACCAAGGGUACGAUGGGUAGCUGGUCUGAGAGGAUGAUCAGCCACACUGGGACUGAGACACGGCCCAGACUCCUACGGGAGGCAGCAGUGGGGAAUAUUGCGCAAUGGGCGAAAGCCUGACGCAGCCAUGCCGCGUGAGUGAUGAAGGCCCUCGGGUCGUAAAGCUCUGUCGGGAGGGACGAAGGGUGGCAACACUCUGACGGUACCUCGCAAGAAAGCACCGGCUAACUCCGUG
rnacentral:rRNA from 1 species